UGGGGAAUUUUGGACAAUGGGGGAAACCCUGAUCCAGCCAUCCCGCGUGUGCGAUGAAGGCCUUCGGGUUGUAAAGCACUUUUGGCAGGAAAGAAACGUCGCGGGUUAAUACCCCGCGAAACUGACGGUACCUGCAGAAUAAGCACCGGCUAACUACGUGCCAGCAGCUGCGGUAAUACGUAGGGUGCAAGCGUUAAUCGGAAUUACUGGGCGUAAAGCGUGCGCAGGCGGUUCGGAAAGAAAGAUGUGAAAUCCCAGAGCUUAACUUUGGGAACUGCAUUUUUAACUACCGGGCUAGAGUGUGUCAGAGGGAGGUGGAAUUCCGCGUGUAGCAGUGAAAUGCGUAGAUAUGCGGAGGAACACCGAUGGCGAAGGCAGCCUCCUGGGAUAACACUGACGCUCAUGCACGAAAGCGUGGGGAGCAAACAGGAUUAGAUACCCUGGUAGUCCACGCCCUAAACGAUGUCAACUAGCUGUUGGGGGCCUUCGGGCCUUGGUAAGCGCAGCUAACGCGUGAAGUUGCCGCCUGGGG
rnacentral:rRNA from 1 species